rnacentral:rRNA from 1 species
UACGGAGGGAGCUAGCGUUGUUCGGAAUUACUGGGCGUAAAGCGCACGUAGGCGGCUUUGUAAGUUAGAGGUGAAAGCCCGGGGCUCAACCCCGGAAUUGCCUUUAAGACUGCAUCGCUUGAAUCCGGAAGAGGAGAGUGGAAUUCCCGGUGUAGUGGUGAAAUGCGUAGAUAUCGGGAGGAACACCAGUGGCGAAGGCGACUACCUGGCCUGUUCUUGACGCUGAGGCGCGAAAGCUAGGGGAGCAAACGGG